rnacentral:misc_RNA from 1 species
UGAGGUCAUGCACGGUGACC